rnacentral:rRNA from 1 species
CCUACGGGGGGCAGCAGUGGGGAAUAUUGGACAAUGGGCGAAAGCCUGAUCCAGCCAUGCCGCGUGUGUGAAGAAGGCCUUCGGGUUGUAAAGCACUUUCAGUGGGGAAGAAAGCCUUGGGGCUAAUACCCUCGAGGAAGGACAUCACCCACAGAAGAAGCACCGGCUAACUCCGUGCCAGCAGCCGCGGUAAUACGGAGGGUGCGAGCGUUAAUCGGAAUUACUGGGCGUAAAGCGCGCGUAGGCGGUCUGAUAAGCCGGUUGUGAAAGCCCCGGGCUCAACCUGGGAACGGCAUCCGGAACUGUCAGGCUAGAGUGCAGGAGAGGAAGGUAGAAUUCCCGGUGUAGCGGUGAAAUGCGUAGAGAUCGGGAGGAAUACCAGUGGCGAAGGCGGCCUUCUGGACUGACACUGACGCUGAGGUGCGAAAGCGUGGGUAGCAAACAGGAUUAGAUACCCCGGUAGUC